GCUGGGGUGGCUGGACUUGGGCACACACUGGGCAAAGAAAAAUGCGGAAGGGCUCCAGCACUGCCUGGAUGAAAAGGAAUUUUCAAUGAUGCUUGCUGUUUUUCUGCACCUGGCACCUCAGACAGGCUUCGAAGACGGAAGCAGCAUCAGGUAAAUUAUACCUAACAAGGUUCAUGCCCAGCUCUGUGAGAAGAGCCACAUCCUAGCUCUCUGGAAACCGUCCCUCCUGCGGUGGUGAACUUGAGUCUCACACACAAUGCAAGAGAGCUCCAGCGCACAGUUCUAUGGCGUUAUUUCCACGCUGAUAAAUUCAUGAUUUAUGAAAGUAACUCCUGCCAGCUCUCACUCCCUCCUACUCUGCUACAGCUUGUUAGACACAAAUUGCAACAACAGUCUUAAAUACUUGCAGUUUAUUUCAGGCCAAAGCCCCUCAACUCUCAACUAAAUGCCACUGACAAUCCCGCAAUGCAGGCCAGGAGUCCCUCGGCUGGGGUGGACCCACAGCCGGGGUGGAUGGCCAGGAGAGAAACACACACAAACCUAAGAGCAGCGCAGCAGCACCAAGGUGGGCCCGGCACCCAGCCCACCCUAGCCCCCCAGGCAGCCGCCCCUGCUGUCUGCAGACUUCAGUAGCAGGAGGCAGGAGCCGCCUCACCGUCUGAAGGAGAGCUUAUGGCUCCUAUCUCCAUCUCCAGAGCCCUCACUUCCAUGCUGAAACAAAGCCUGUGUGCCCCACUGACUGAACUUGCGGCUUCCCAGGAAAGCGUCAGUAGGCCCUGGCAGCCAGAGCC
rnacentral:lncRNA from 1 species